UUUGUCCAUUCAAAAUUAAAUAUCUGGAGCUGUAGAUAUCCAAUUGAUGCAAAAUUAAUUUUUUUGUAUUCCUGACUCAAAUGCCUACAAACGCUCCAAAUUUCAGCCAAACACGAUGUCAUAUGAGGGAGAUAUGAGUUUUCAAAGAUGACAACUGAAUUCUGCCGGCAAACAGGUUUCGUGAAGAAACGAAUCCAAAUUACAUCCCGAAGCAUCAAAACCGACAUCCAAGUUUUAAUUUCAGCAAUUUAGCUCCUCAAGUAAAUCAAUCCAGAAGGUCAAGGAAGGCAGCCACCAACCUCAAAUCACCAACCACAAACCAGCCACCAGCCACCAGCCGCCUUCACACUACCACCAUCUCUUGAUGUUCACACUUGAACUUUGAUUUUUCUUACUUACAAUUUAUGUAUAAAUAGGCAGCUAAGUUUAUGCUAUUAAGAGAGCCAAGAGAGAGGGAGAGAGAGUGCAGUAGAAUCAAAGAAAGAGGGGUGGCAGCCAUAAGAGAAGAAACACAAACUCUCCCCUCUACUACCCAGAAAUCAUGUAUUCUUCCAUCUUUAAGAGUAGUUGUUCAAUAGAUAUGCAAGGCUAAGCUCGUUUUCUUGGUUGCAAGGACGCAAACACCUUCAGAUUUCAAGAACUGUGAGAUUUAUUCUUCCAUUUAUUUUCAUUUGUAUUAUGAAUGAGUAUGUUUGUUUUCCUA